CUCAUAAUUUCCUGUUAGUCAUUCUAUGAAGAAAAGAAAGCUUCCCAAGGUGUCACCCGUGGCCCUCCUUUCCCUUCUGAGCCAGGGGAACACUGUGUUUCCCCCUUUCCCACAAUAAAAGACUUGAGUUUGCUCCUCUCCCUAGAAGUGCUCUAAUUUCUCCAUUUAAAACCUCUUAUCUAGACCAGGCAUCAAGGCUCACACCUGUAACCCCAGCACUUUGGAAGGCUGAGGUGGGAGACUCACUUGAGGCCAGGAGUUCGAGACCAGACUGAGAAACACAACACCGGAGAUGGCUCCAAUUCCUUCCAGAUAUUGAUCAACCUGCUUCAUCUGGCCUUCAAGACCCUCGCCAUUCAUGAUUACUCACUACCCCUUCUCUUUCCCAAUAUCUGCUUCUUCUCAUGUGGCAAAAUGUGCAGAGACGAAAGUGAUCUCAGUCGGUUCCUUGCAAGGUGACCUUGGACAGGUUAAUUAACUUCAAAGAGCCUGAAUUUCCUCACAGGGUUAAUUAGCAGAUCAAAU
rnacentral:lncRNA from 1 species